UGAGGAAUAUUGGACAAUGGGGGCAACCCUGAUCCAGCCAUGCCGCGUGAGUGAAGAAGGCCUUAGGGUUGUAAAGCUCUUUCAAUUGCGAAGAUAAUGACGGUAACAAUAGAAGAAGCUCCGGCUAAAUUCGUGCCAGCAGCCGCGGUAAUACGAAUGGAGCAAGCGUUGUUCGGAAUCACUGGGCUUAAAGCGUAUGUAGGCGGACUAGAAAGUCAGGAGUGAAAUCCCGAGGCUCAACCUCGGAACUGCUCUUGAAACUCCUAGUCUAGAAUCCUGGAGAGGUUAGGAGAAUUCCGAGUGUAGAGGUGAAAUUCGCAGAUAUUCGGAGGAAUACCAGUGGCGUAGGCGCCUAACUGGACAGGUAUUGACGCUCAGAUACGAAAGCGUGGGGAGCAAACAGGAUUAGAUACCCCGGUAGUCC
rnacentral:rRNA from 1 species